ACAGUGACCCUCCUCCUAAGAUUUUUCAUCCUUUUUCUGUUAAAUCUUCACCUUCCCAUUUGUCCAGCACACAUAUCAUGUUUGUUUUUAAAGUACACUGCUCAUGAGAAAUGCACUUAAUCCACCAGGCAGGGCAGGAGAAGUAGCUCAAACAGACACCUGAAUGGGAGAGAGAAUAGUUCUGCCUUCUGGUAAUUCAUCAUAUUCUUGGCCAUAUGCAGGGAAUUCAGCAAAUCCUCCUUAGGAAAACUCCCUUGUGUCUCUGAACUGAAGGGCUGGCACUCGGCACCCUGUUCAGCUACAAAAUGCUGGCUUUCAUAACAGGGUUACUCUCUGAGAGCAAGCCAGACGUGCUGCCGAGUGACGGGAAAGACAGCGACUGCACUGUCUCAACAGGAGGUGGAAAGAAAGUGGGACAAGCCACAGAAGGAGGAGCAGAGGGAGAAGGAUUUCAAAAGGACCUAGCUGCAGGCUGAGCCCACUGCCCUCUGUGGAGUGCUAUUUUAAUGGCAACACAAGGAGAUGUC